rnacentral:rRNA from 1 species
GAUCCUGGCUCAGGAUGAACGCUAGCUACAGGCUUAACACAUGCAAGUCGAGGGGCAGCAUGGUCUUAGCUUGCUAAGACUGAUGGCGACCGGCGCACGGGUGAGUAACACGUAUCCAACCUGCCGUCUACUCUUGGACGGCCUUCUGAAAGGAAGAUUAAUACAAGAUGGCAUCAUGAGUCCGCAUGUUCACAUGAUUAAAGGNUACGUUACGAGA